GCACUAGAAGCUUGAAAGCGGUUAGACUUGAAAUCUAACAUAUCAUAGGUGAUUUAUGACUGGUGUU
rnacentral:tRNA from 1 species